UACGGAGGGGGCGAGCGUUAUUCGGAAUUAUUGGACGUAAAGGGCGCGUAGGCGGCGCGAUAAGUCAAAGGUGAAAUCCCCCGGCUCAACUGGGGAACUGCAAGGGAUACAGCGGGGCUUGAGUUCGGGAGAGGGAAGCGGAAUUCCCGGUGUAGUGGUGAAAUGCGUAGAUAUCGGGAGGAACACCAGUGGCGAAGGCGGUUACCUGGAGCUUUGCUGACGCUGAUGCGCGAAAGCGUGGGGAGCGAUCCGG
rnacentral:rRNA from 1 species